CCCGAAUUUCAACAAUUGUUCAAGCCAAGCCGUUACUCUGGUAAAGAUUUUAAUACAAACAGUCGCCCUUUUUUAAAGCGCCAGCGAAAAUCACAACAGAACCACCGCCCUGGGACUUCCGAGAGGAAGACUGGUCAAAUCAUCUUGACCUAGUACGACACCUCCUGGGGAACAACAAACUACGCCCGACACUGCCAGCCCUCCAAUGAACAAACUUUCCCUCUUCCCGUCUCCUACCUUCGAUCCGCAGCCCAAUCCUACUAUACAAGACCUCCCUGUCAUAUUAUCUAGUCACCACCCCCCUAAAAAUUGCCGUUUUCAGCGCAAUUUAAAUAAUCUCAUUCAAGUAAAUAUUAUCAAUGCUGCCAAACCUAAUCGUGCUAUCGGCGAUCGUACCAAGAAAACUAUAUUUCCGAAAAUUUCUUUAAUAAACGCCCGAUCACUUUUACCAAAGUUAGACGAGUUAACAGCAUCACUUUCUACUAACCCUGCAGUCGACAUGCCGCUGUAGAUGGAACUGUUACCUUAGAUGUUACACCUUAACUGCACCAAUUUUGUCAACAUCAACAGAGGAGUACCUCAAGG